UGAUCUAUGAAGUUCCCAUGGCAAAGGAGCCCCUCCGACAGCUUUUACUGCUGUCCAGGUUGAGCGCCAUAGCAACCUGUCUUCCUGUCUUCCAGGCCUCAUGGAUGUUCUGUGCUGACGGCGCGGCCCUACACUUUAAUCUCAUGCCCCACCAGUUUUAAAGAAUGAUUUCUGAAUUCAUUCUGUUUGAGAGUUUGAGGAAGGCCUCACCCCGAAGUCUAGGCUGGCUUCAAACAUGAGACACACACACAUAACGUCUACAAAACAGAAGGCAACCUAAUUGAUAAUAGUGAAAUCAGCAAUAGAACUUGAUACUACCCCAUCAUCAGCAAUAGAACUUGAUCAGCUAAUAUCUCCAAGGUCCUACCACCCUUGUGGUGAAGUUUCCCGUUAGUGAGGAUGUGAUUUUACAUUUCUGAUGACCUUCUGGGUAAUUUCAGGUUUGGUGGACGCGGACUGCAUCUUGUCAGACCCAAUUAGACCAUUGGCAUUUACUAUGUUGUUGGUGAUGAACUCAGAUGUGAAAUUUUUCUUUCCUUUCUGCUCCCAAGUGCUCAUUUAGAUUAGCCUCCUUGUAAGCCGCUUGCCCAUUUUGAGAAAGCUAGUUUAGUUAGAUUCAUUCCUAAGGCAGCAUUUGAACAUAGUUCUGAGCUCUUGAGGUGUGUCAAGGUAGAACUGAGACAGUUGGCCUCAGGAAACCAUACAUAGCUGUACAUAGAUUGCUGAGGGCAGAUGAAGGGGUAUGGCUCUGAGGGGUCACCCUAUCUGCCCAUGAGACCUAGUGAUGGACAGUCCAACUGAAGACAAGUGUGUCAGCCCACGUGUUAGUUGGUGGCAAUUUAACUUAAUGUGAUUUGUUUCUUAGAGGCAACCAAGUGUAAUGGAUUGGGUUCCCACACUCAUCUCCCUCUCCAGAGUGACCAUAACCAUCUAAAGCUCAAGGCUGUACCUUCUUCAUUGAGUGAUUCUCAGCCCCAGUGCCCAUCUUGUCAUUGUGCACAGCAGAAGUUAAACCUUCCUUUAAAACACAGGGAGCAUGAGUUUUCACCUGAGAGACAAGAAUGUUAAAGAUGUUCUAGUCAGACUCCCCUGUGAGCAGAGAGCAGGGUAUGUGUGGCAAACAGCCCUGGCAGGCAGGAGUUGGCUGUUUCCUCUCAUCCAGGUGGGCAGCACAGGAGGGUUGUGCUAGUUGUGCAGGGAAUAGAAGUGUCUCUGCACAGUGACCGAGCCUGUGGGUUUUCAUAAAUCACAGGAUUCUAGCUGGACUCCUUGGGUCUGGGAUGAGAAAGGAGGUAUGAAGUUUCAGCUUUCCUUUGGGGCCACACUGCUGGUAAUGAGCUUUGAGGAAGCAGCAUUUGUUUAACAUCUGGCUCCAUAGCAGGUAUGGAAACCAGAAGUGGUGUAUCAGCUUCUCAGUGGUCCUUAGGAACCAGCUGCAACCUCCAUUCCCGGAGGCUCCCUCUCAGCAGGUGGAGGGGGGAGAAAGCAAUGAGGCUUUUACGUAUGUCCACAGGAGGGUUGGCCUUUCCAUUCCCUCAUGUUUAUGGAGACUACAGAGUUAUCCUGUCUAUCAGGAACGUCUGCUUACCAUAAACAUGUGAGCCAAGCUUAAAUCAACUCUCCAGCUUAACGUUAUAAAAUAAAAUAUGUAACAAUAAUUACAUGGAAACAAGAGCCUUGGUUGAACCUACUGCCUUAUGUCUGUGAGCCUUUUAACUCUUUUAAAUAAACCUUUUGGCUUCAACUUUCCUAUUGCACAGCACUGAAAAAAUGCCUGGCUGACUCUUUAAAGAUAGAAGAGCCUUCUUCACCUUCUUGGCCAUGUGCUAUUGUUGCUCAGCUUUCUUGGGACAAAGAGGUCAUUGAUUUUGCUUAUGUUCAUCCCUCAGGACAGGGUUUAGUCAUUAAAGGUAAAUUAUUGUAGACUGGAAGAUUGAAAGCAAUGUCACACACAAAAAAGGUCCCUUACCUUUUACAGGACAGUGACUGCCCCUGUGGACGCUGCCCCAGGAGUAUGUAUAGUUAGCAUGUCCCCUCUCUUCAUUCAUUGUUGCAACCUAGAAAGGCUGUUUGUACCCAAGAAAUAAUAGUUCUAUGAGAACAUACACUCAAAUAUUAUUUAGAGUUAAAACGAAGAAUUGUUACAAGGUCCUGCCACAGCACGAGUGGACCUUGACUUAACAUGCCAAGUGAAAGAAGCCGGAGGUGCAAGGACUCAGCCUGCAGGAUUCCACUGGUGGGUCUGUGGCAGGCCCAGUUGUCCAUUUGGAAGUAGAAUAGAAGUCAGGGAGAGGUGGGGAGAAUGAGGAGGGAGUGUUCAGUAUAGUCUCAUAUGCUCAAAAUGCAGGAGACCCAGAGCUCUGUCUUCUCACUGUGAAGACUGAGCACUGCAGAGCUCACUUACAAACGGCAAAGGUGGUCAGUUUCAUCACAUUCCUUAGCACCGUGAAUGCAUAGGCACAGCAGAGCAAAGAGGUCCCCACCCGUGGCAGUGGUUUGGUAGCUCAGAAGCUAAACGACCCUGUGACUCAGCAGACCCACCCCUAGGCGUUCACCGCUGAGGAUUCAAAACAAAGGAACCAACUAAAAGCCCAUCUGUUGAUGUUUACAACACCAUUGUUGAUAAGAGCUAGUGGUGACACUGUGCCAAGUGUCUAUCUUGAUGAACAGGAAGAGCGUGCUCCGUCCAUAUGGUUCAAUAUCACCUAACCAAGAGAAUGACUGAAGGCUGAGUCUCGUUACGGUAGGUGAACUUGAAAACUGUUUUGCCAAUAAGGGAAGCAGGCACCAGCAGCUAUGGCUCUGGUAUCAUUUGUGGGAAAUCUGUACACAGAAAGUAGCUCACUGGCCACUGACGUCUGUGAGAAGAGAAGCCAUACAGAACUGUGGCUUACUGGCUAUGGGUUCUCUUGAAGAUGGUGAGGUGUUCUAGAAUUAGGUAGUGGCAAUGGCCCCAAAGAAAAUGAAUUCAGGUGUCGCACUGUACAACUCUUAGGAGGCUGAAAUGAUGAUGGUUAUUCCCUAUGCCUGUUACCUCAGAAAGGGGGAGGGAGCCCGGGCUGUAGACCAACCAGCAUCUGUGUCUUAGCUGGGAACCUGUACGUUCAAGUGCUGAAAGGACUUUCUACAUGACUAUGACUACAAUCCCAGGGGGACCUGGACUGUUCAGAGAAGGGGAAAGACAGAUGCGUGGACAUGGUGGUCUCAUUGAGGAAGGGCAGGGCAGCCGAGCCGCACCACUGAAGCCCUGAACUCAUACACUUGUUUCCUUGGGCUCUCAGAGGGCUGGCCCUCUGCCAUCACAUAGAUGGGCCACAUCCACAGGAAUGGUACUCAGAAGAGGAAGCAGCCAUCUCGUGUCUGCUUUUAAGAGCAAGAAGGUGCUAUGCUAGAAGCCCCCUUGCAAAGCCAUUUGUCAGGACUUAGUCACAUGACUGUGCCUCAGAUCCUUUUAGACCUAUCAUACUCAGCAGAAUGAAUGUUUGGCAUAGGGCCGCAUCUUAAAGAGUAGUCAUUAUAGGCACCCUUGACACUAAUCAGAUACCACUGGUUAAGUUUGCUAGAAUAUUGCUGCCCCAAGUCUUCUAGUGGAUAUGCAUGGGACAGAGAUCUGACAACCCACCAGCUGUCAACAGCAGCUUUCAGCUGUCCCCACGGUGCACACAGCACUGCUGGGUGCCAGGUACUUCCCUGUGCAGGGCCUGCUAGUGAGCUUGCAUCCCCUUUGGAGACUGUAAGCUUAGAAAAUUAAAGUUAUGUUAUCACCAGAAUGAAAUUUCACAGUAGAGGGCAUCUAGGGUUCUCUAGCUCC
rnacentral:lncRNA from 1 species